rnacentral:tRNA from 1 species
GCCCCUGAAGCUCAGCAGGCAGAGCGCCCGUUUCGUAAUCGGGAGGCCGCCGGUUCGAUCCCGGCCGGGGGCUC